CGUCCACAGCCCGCUUAAACAGCUCCAAUACCAGGCUUAGACAACACAACCAGUCAUUUUCGCAUUAAUUGAUCGAUGACUAUCUUCUCAAGUGAGUUUGGUGGAAAGGCCGAAAUGUUUGCAUGAUCAUCUAUUUAUAGAGCGGAUCCAUCCGCCACUCUCACUGCUAGUUCCAUGUGCGCAUCGUCGGCUCAUCGAAAUCGAAAAGCUAUUGCAAAUCAAAUGGAAAAGACAAGGGCUUGAGUACCAGGGCAACCCCCUAUUAAAAGGCCAGAAGUGUGGAUUAUCGGGGACAGCUACGUCCGCCGUGGAGAGGAGAGAGCCAGGGAAACCUGUGGCCCCCACCUUGGCCUAGAGGCCAGGGUCAGUUGGUUUGGCUGGGGCGGGCUGAGAUGGAAGACCCUCAUCCCUUUCUUCCUGCAGUCCCUGAGAGGAAGAACAGCCCCGGAUGUCCUGCUCAUCCACUGUGGCGGCAACGACCUCGGACGCCUGGAGGGAGUUGAGGUUGUUGCCGCAAUGAAGCAGGACCUGCAGUACCUCCACCGGCAGUUCCCAGCAAUGCAGAUCGUCUACUCUAACAUCAACGAGGAAGCUAAAUCACCCUAGGAAAUGGGUGAACAGUGUGAUGAACGCAUUUGUUAGUGUAGAGCUAGGAGGCAACAGCGUAGAGCAUCAUGGAAUAAGGUUAAACUGCUGUGGUUUAUACUUAAAAGACAAGGUUCAUUUCACCAAUAGGGGAAAUUAAAUUUUUUUAAAAAGCAUUUCACAGUCUCUUAAAGCGAUAAUCCAGAGUGGGUGAGACUGACACUUUUAGGGCCAAUGCCUUCAGCCUUCUCCAAUCUGAAUUGUAAUUUCAACAGUUUUCAAUACUGUCAAAUAUAAUCCAGGUCCUUAAUCUUUAUUCGAUGAUGCUCUUCUCUGCGUAUUUGAUAAAUCAGUAAUUAUAACGUUUUUGGUAAUCAUUUGUGUUUAUCACACUGUUCAUUCAUUUCACUGUUCUUCCUCUCAUUCCUUUCCUUACUUCUUCUUAACCUGUCUUUGUUUCCCCUUCCACACUUCUGCCCCAGCCAAACAGCCAAAAAAAAAGAAAAAUAAAGUGUUUUGUUAAAAUUUGGGGUGGGGGGGUCUUGUAAUAAAAGCUUUUUUUAUUGUAA